rnacentral:misc_RNA from 1 species
UUUCCGUAGGUGAACCUGCGGAAGGAUCAUUAUUGUAUAAACCUGAUGUGGUUGUAGCUGGCCCUUUCGGGAGCAUGUGCACACCCGUCGUCUUUAUCUUUCCACCUGUGCACCUUUUGUAGACCUGGAUGUAACACUUUCCGAGGCAACUCGGUCGGGAGGAAUGCUGUCAGCUUUCCUUGAAUGUCCAGGCCUAUGUUUUCAUAUACCCCAAAGAAUGUAACAGAAUGUAUUAUUGGGCCUUGUGCCUAUAAACUAUAUACAACUUUCAGCAACGGAUCUCUUGGCUCUC